GAGUUUGUGCACGAGCAGGUUCAGCAAGUUCAAGUCCAACAAGCUCGCAGACCAGAAAACGAUCCAUAUUCGAACACUUAUAACCCUGGCUGGAGAAACCAUCCAAAUUUUUUCUGGAGACUACAACCAGUGGUUGGCCCUGCCGCACCUCGACCUCAAUAUCAGGACCCAACAUAUAGGCAUGGAUCAUAUCAUCAAUUUCAA
rnacentral:lncRNA from 1 species